GACGAACGCUGGCGGCGUGCUUAACACAUGCAAGUCGAACGAAGAGCGACGGAAGCUUGCUUCUAUCAAUCUUAGUGGCGAACGGGUGAGUAACGCGUAAUCAACCUGCCCUUCAGAGGGGGACAACAGUUGGAAACGACUGCUAAUACCGCAUACGAUCUAAUCUCGGCAUCGAGGAUAGAUGAAAGGUGGCCUCUACAUGUAAGCUAUCACUGAAGGAGGGGAUUGCGUCUGAUUAGCUAGUUGGAGGGGUAACGGCCCACCAAGGCGAUGAUCAGUAGCCGGUCUGAGAGGAUGAACGGCCACAUUGGGACUGAGACACGGCCCAGACUCCUACGGGAGGCAGCAGUGGGGAAUCUUCCGCAAUGGACGAAAGUCUGACGGAGCAACGCCGCGUGAGUGAUGACGGCCUUCGGGUUGUAAAGCUCUGUUAAUCGGGACGAAAGGCCUU
rnacentral:rRNA from 1 species